rnacentral:rRNA from 1 species
AAGAAAGGGUGCUCAGCGCCCGACCUCCAACCCUUUGUUGUUAAAACUACCUUGUUGCUUUGGCGGGACCGCUCGGUCUCGAGCCGCUGGGGAUUCGUCCCAGGCGAGCGCCCGCCAGAGUUAAACCAAACUCUUGUUAUUAAACCGGUCGUCUGAGUUAAAAUUUUGAAUAAAUCAAAACUUUCAACAACGGAUCUCUUGGUUCUCGCAUCGAUGAAGAACGCAGCGAAAUGCGAUAAGUAAUGUGAAUUGCAGAAUUCAGUGAAUCAUCGAAUCUUUGAACGCACAUUGCGCCCCUUGGUAUUCCGAGGGGCAUGCCUGUUCGAGCGUCAUUACACCACUCAAGCUAUGCUUGGUAUUGGGUGCCGUCCUUAGUUGGGCGCGCCUUAAAGACCUCGGCGAGGCCUCACCGGCUUUAGGCGUAGUAGAAUUUAUUCGAACGUCUGUCAAAGGAGAGGACUUCUGCCGACUGAAACCUUUAUUUUUCUAGGUUGACCUCGGAUCAGGUAGGGAUACCCGCUGAACUUAAGCAUAUCAAUAAGCGGAGGAAUAUGUUUUUUUCCC